UGGGGUAUCGCCAAGUGGUAAGGCACGGGACUUUGACUCCCGUAUUCGCUGGUUCGAGUCCAGCUACCCCAGCCA
rnacentral:tRNA from 1 species